UACAGAGGUGGCAAGCGUUGUUCGGAAUUACUGGGCGUAAAGGGCGCGUAGGCGGCCUGUUAAGUCACACGUGAAAUCCCUCGGCUCAACCGGGGAACUGCGUGUGAUACUGGCGGGCUUGAAUCCGGGAGAGGAGAGUGGAAUUCCUGGUGUAGCGGUGAAAUGCGCAGAUAUCAGGAGGAACACCAAUGGCGAAGGCAGCACUCUGGGACGUUACUGACGCUGAGACGCGAAAGCGUGGGGAGCAAACAGG
rnacentral:rRNA from 1 species